GUAAUGCGUGACCAACCUGCCCCAUGCUCCAGAAUAGCUCUUGGAAACGGGUGGUAAUGCUGGAUGCUCCAACUUGACGCAUGUCUUGUUGGGAAAGUGUUUAGUGGCAUGGGAUGGGGUCGCGUCCUAUCAGCUUGUAGGCGGGGUAAUGGCCCACCUAGGCUUCGACGGGUAGCCGGCCUGAGAGGGCGGACGGCCACAUUGGGACUGAGAUACGGCCCAGACUCCACGGGAGGCAGCAGG
rnacentral:rRNA from 1 species